rnacentral:misc_RNA from 1 species
UCACGACGUUGUAAAAAGACGUUAUGCAUGAACGUAAUGCUCAUAACUUCCCUCUAGACCUAGCUGCUAUUGAAGCUCCAUCUACAACGGAUAAGACUUUGGUCCUGUCUAUACGAGUUUUUGAAAAUCAGGGAGCAAUCACCUCUUGUUCUAGCAAGAGUGCAUUGCUCCUUUACUUCUCUUUUUUUUGAUUACUAUUCUUUUAUUUACAGAUCGUUUUUUCGUUACAAGAAAAAUAUUUUGAUGGUAAUGAUGAAUGUUUGAAAUUGAAAUGGUAAGGGGGCGGAUGUAGCCA